rnacentral:rRNA from 1 species
GACGAACGCUGGCGGCGUGCUUAACACAUGCAAGUCGAACGGAAAGGCCUUGCUCUUGUGGCGGGCUCGAGUGGCGAACGGGUGAGUAACACGUGAGUAACCUGCCCUUGACUUGGGGAUAACUCCAGUAAACUGGGGCUAGUACCGGAAAGGAGCUCCUGCUGCCUGGGGGGGGCUGGAAAGUUUCGGCGGUUGGGGAUGGACUCGCGGCUUAUCAGGCUGUUGGUGGGGUAGUGUCUUACCAAGGCUUUGACGGGUAGCCGGCCUGAGAGGGUGACCGGCAACAUUGGGACUGAGAUGAGGCCGAGACUCCUACGGGAGGAAGCAGUGGGGAAUAAUGCACCAUGAGCGGAAGCAGGAUGAAGCAACGCCGCGUGGGGGAUGAAGGCCUUCGGGUUGUAGUCAGCUUUCGCCUGUGAAGAAGAGUGAGUGACGGUAAUGGGUAAAGAAGCACCGGCUAACUACGUG